GGAUGUGAGGGCGAUCUCGCUGUGACAUCUGUCACCCCAUUGAUCUCCAGGGUUGAUUCGGCUGAUCUGGCUGGCUAGGCGGGUGUCCCCUUUCUCCCUCACUACUCCAUGUGCGUCCCUACUGAAGCUGACCUCUUGGUCAAAGAGGACGGCCUUCCCCCAAUAGAGAUGGACCAGUCUUCGGUUAAGGGUAUAGGAGUAGCUGCGCUCCCCUGCUAGAACCUCCAGACAAGCUCUCAAGGAUUCAGGCCCUUGUGCUUUGUGCCAUGUGUGCUUAACCCACUGCGCUCCUGC
rfam:Erinaceus europaeus unplaced genomic scaffold scaffold00338, whole genome shotgun sequence